rnacentral:rRNA from 1 species
CCUACGGGUGGCAGCAGUGGGGGAUAUUGCACAAUGGGGGAAACCCUGAUGCAGCGACGCCGCGUGAGUGAAGAAGUAUUUCGGUAUGUAAAGCUCUAUCAGCAGGGAAGAAAAUGACAGUGCCUGACCAAGAAGCCCCGGCUAACUACGUGCCAGCAGCCGCGGUAAUACGUAGGGGGCAAGCGUUAUCCGGAUUUACUGGGGGUAAAGGGAGCGUAGACGGUUAUGUAAGUCUGGAGUUAAAGCCAGGUGCCCAACCCCGGGACUGCUUUGGAAACUGUGUACCUGGAGUAGAGGAGGGGCAGGUGGAAUUCCUGGUGUAGCGGUGAAAGGCGGAGAGAUCAGGAGGAACACCGGUGGCGAAGGCGGCCUGCUGGACGGAAACUGACGUUGAGGCGCGAAAGCGUGGGGAGCAAACAGGAUUAGAGACCCCAGUAGUC